rnacentral:rRNA from 1 species
GAGUUUGAUCCUGGCUCAGGACGAACGCUGGCGGCGUGCUUAACACAUGCAAGUCACGGGGGCCCGCGAGGGCAACCGGCGAACGGGUGCGUAACACGUGAGCGACCUGCCCUUCCGCGGGGGAUAGCCGGCCCAACGGCCGGGUAAUACCGCAUACGCUUCUCGCGGGGCAUCCUGCGACAAGGAAACUUCCGGGGCGGAGGGAGGGGCUCGCGGCCUAUCAGCUAGUUGGCGGGGUAACGGCCCACCAAGGCGGCGACGGGUAGCUGGUCUGAGAGGAUGGCCAGCCACAUUGGGACUGAGAGACGGCCCAGACUCCUACGGGAGGCAGCAGUGGGGAAUAUUGCGCAAUGGCCGCAAGGCUGACGCAGCGACGCCGCGUGUGGGAGGACGCCCCUCGGGGUGUAAACCACUGUUGCCCGGGACGAACAUCCCCUUUAGAGGGGACUGACGGUACCGGGUGAGGAAGCACCGGCUAACUCCGUGCCAGCAGCCGCGGUAAUACGGAGGGUGCGAGCGUUGUCCGGAAUCACUGGGCGUAAAGGGCGCGUAGGCGGCGCGGCAAGCGUGCGGUGAAAGCCCGGGGCUCAACCCCGGGUCGGCCGUGCGAACUGCCGGGCUCGAGCACUGUAGGGGCAGGCGGAAUUCCGGGUGUAGCGGUGGAAUGCGUAGAGAUCCGGAAGAACACCGGUGGCGAAGGCGGCCUGCUGGGCAGUGGCUGACGCUGAGGCGCGACAGCGUGGGGAGCAAACAGGAUUAGAUACCCUGGUAGUCCACGCCGUAAACGAUGGGCACUAGGUGCCCGGGGGAGCGACCCUCCGGGUGCCGGCGCUAACGCAUUAAGUGCCCCGCCUGGGGAGUACGGCCGCAAGGCUGAAACUCAAAGGAAUUGACGGGGACCCGCACAAGCGGUGGAGCAUGUGGUUUAAUUCGACGCAACGCGAAGAACCUUACCUAGCCUAGAAUGCUCCUGACAGCCCCAGAGAUGGGGUUUCCUGGGUAAAACCAGGCAGGAUGCAAGGUGCUGCAUGGCUGUGGUGAGCUCGUGUCGUGAGAUGUUGGGUUAAGUCCCGCAACGAGCGCAACCC